rnacentral:misc_RNA from 1 species
UCCGGUUUGGCACCGGCAGUCUCCCUAGAGUCCCCGACAUUACUCGCUGGUAACACAGAACGAGGGUUGCGCUCGUUGGCGGACUUAACCGUACACCUCACGGCACGAGCUGACGACAGCCAUGCAACAUCUGUUUUCAGGUCUCCUUGUGGGAGAGGGCCCUAUCUCUAGAGCUUUCCUUCAAUGUCAAGAGUGGGUAAGGUUCUUCGGUUAGUAUCGAAUUAAUCCACAUGCUCCACCGCUUGUGCGGGUCCCCGUCAAUUCAUUUGAGUUUCAACCUUGCGGCCGUACUCCCCAGGCGGGAUACUUAAUGCGUUUGCUGCGGCACCGGGGGGGUCGAUACCCCCGACGCCUAGUAUCCAUCGUUUAGGGCGUGGACUAC